UACGUAGGGUGCGAGCGUUAAUCGGAAUUACUGGGCGUAAAGCGUGCGCAGGCUGUUCUGUAAGUCAGAUGUGAAAUCCCCGAGCUCAACUUGGGAACUGCGUUUGAAACUACAGGACUAGAAUAUGGCAGAGGGGGGUAGAAUUCCACGUGUAGCAGUGAAAUGCGUAGAGAUGUGGAGGAAUACCAAUGGCGAAGGCAGCCCCCUGGGAUAAUAUUGACGCUCAUGCACGAAAGCGUGGGGAGCAAACAGA
rnacentral:rRNA from 1 species